rnacentral:rRNA from 1 species
CCUACGGGAGGCAGCAGUGAGGAAUAUUGGUCAAUGGACGAGAGUCUGAACCAGCCAAGUAGCGUGAAGGAUGACUGCCCUAUGGGUUGUAAACUUCUUUUAUAUGGGAAUAAAAUGUUCCACGUGUGGGAUUUUGUAUGUACCCUAUGAAUAAGGAUCGGCUAACUCCGUGCCAGCAGCCGCGGUAAUACGGAGGAUCCGAGCUUUAUCCGGAUUUAUUGGGUUUAAAGGGUGCGUAGGUGGAUUGUUAAGUCAGUUGUGAAAGUUUGCGGCUCAACCGGAAAAUUGCAGUUGAAACUGGCAGUCUUGAGUACAGUAGAGGUGGGCGGAAUUCGUGGUGUAGCGGUGAAAUGCUUAGAUAUCACGAAGAACUCCGAUUGCGAAGGCAGUUCACUGGACUGCAACUGACACUGAGGCUCGAAAGUGUGGGUAUCAAACAGGAUUAGAUACCCCAGUAGUC